rnacentral:rRNA from 1 species
GUGAUCAAGCCAAUAAGAGCAUACGGUGGAUGUCUUGGCGUCAAGAGGCGAUGAAAGACGUGGUAGCCUGCGAUAAGCCCUGAGGAGCUGGCAAACGAGCUGUGAUCCAGGGAUGUCUGAAUGGGGAAACCCGGCCGAAAGGUCAUCCUGCAAUGAAUGCAUAGUUGCAGGAAGCGAACCCAGGGAACUGAAACAUCUAAGUACCUGGAGGAAAGGAAAGCAACCGCGACUCCGUAAGUAGCGGCGAGCGAAAACGGAUAAAGCGAUCGCGUCGUGAACCGCCUGGAAAGGCGGGCCGCAGAAGGUGAUAGCCCUGUAUCGACGUAGUCGUGUAGGCCUCGAGUAAUGUCGGACUCGUGGAACCCGGCAUGAACAUGGGGGGUCCACCCUCCAAGCCUAAGUACUCCUUGACGACCGAUAGUGAACCAGUAAGGCGACUGAAUGAUGACAAGCACCCCGACAAGGGGAGUGAAAGAGCACCUGAAACCGUAUGCUUACACAGCGGUCGGAGCCCCCGCAAGGGGGUGACGGCGUGCCUUUUGCAUAAUGAGCCGGCGAGUUGCUCUGUGCGGCGAGGCUAAGGACUGACGGUCCGGAGCCGGAGCGAAAGCGAGUCUGAAUAGGGCGUCGAGUCGCACGGGGCAUACGCGAAACCUUGUGAUCUACCCAUGGCCAGGUUGAAGGGCGGGUAACACCGCCUGGAGGACCGAACUCGUGACCGUUGAAAAGGUCUGGGAUGAGCUGUGGGGAGGACUAAAAGUGUAAUCAAACUGGGAGAUAGCUCGUUCUCUCCGAAACAUCUUUAGGGAUGGCCUCAUGUAGCAACCGCUGGGGGUAGAGCUACUGGAUGGCGUUGAGGGUCUACCCGACUACUCGCGCCAACCAAACUCCGAAUACCAGCGGCCAAGACGUGGGAGUCAGACGGCGAGUGACAAUAUCCGUCGUCGAGAGGAGAACAGUCCAGACCACCGGCUAAGGCCCCGGAUCUUCGCUCAGUUCGAAAGGAAGUUGAAGUGCCGUGACAGCCAGGAUGUUGGCUUAGAAGCAGCCACCAUUUAAAGAGUGCGUAACAGCUCACUGGCCGAGGACUUCAGCGCCGAAAAUGAUCGGGAAUAAGCGAAGAGCCGAAGCCGUGGAAUCGCGCAAGCGAUUGGUAGGAGAGCGUUCCAGUCGGCGUCGAAGCGGUUCCGGAAGGAUCCGUGGAGCGUCUGGAAGUGAAUAUGCCGGCUUGAGUAACGAUAAUGCAGGUGAAAAUCCUGCACGCCGCAAGCCCAAGGUUUCCUGGGGAAGGUAAAUCCGCCCAGGGUUAGCCGGAUCCUAAGGCGAGGCCGAAAGGCGUAGUCGAUGGACAUCAGGUCAAUAUUCCUGAGCCCGCGCAGAGAUCAAUCCAUGGUUCGGGUCCCCAAGCUCCGCGGAAGCGCCAGCUGUCUGAGGCCGUAAGGCCGAUGCGGGGGGAGGGGGCUCCAAGAAAAGCCAUGGUGGCAAAGCGUGGUCCGUACCAAAACUGACACAGGUGGGCGAGGCGAAUAGCCUCAGGCGCUCGAGAGAACGGUCGUGAAGGAACUAGGCAAAUUAACCCCGUACGUUCGCAAUAAGGGGGCCCUACCCGCGAGGGAGGGCGCAGAGAAAAGGCUCUGGGAACUGUUUAUCAAAAACACAGCACUGUGCGAACUCGCAAGAGGAUGUAUACAGUGUGACGCUUGCCCAAUGCCGGAAUGUCACGGAAGGGGGUCAGCGAAUGCGAAGCUCUCGACCCAAGCACCGGUCAAUGGCGGCCGUAACUAUGACGGUCCUAAGGUAGCGAAGUUCCUUGUCGGGUAAGUUCCGACGCGCAUGAAUAGCGUAAUCACUGGAGCACUGUCUCCACGACCGACUCGGUGAAAUAGUAGUGGCGGUGAGGAUGCCGCCUACCCGCGGCAAGACGGAAAGACCCCGUGGACCUUCACUGUAGGCAUCUGCUGGUCACGAUCAUGAAUUGCGUAGGAUAGGUGGGAGCCUUUGAAGUCCCCGUUUCGGCGGGGAUGGAGGCAACGGUGAAAUACCACCCUGUUUACGAUUGUGGCCUAACCUCGACUCCCGUGAAUCCGGGCGAGGGACACCGGGUGCUGGGCAGUUUGACUGGGGCGGUCUCCUCCUAAAGAGUAACGGAGGAGCGCAAAGGUCGGUUCAGCGCGGAUGGAAACCGCGUGGUGAGUGUAAGAGCACAAGCCGGCUUUACUGUGAGUGCGACAGCACGAACAGUCUCGAAAGAGGGCUCUAGUGAUCCUGCGAUCCCGUGUGGAAGGGUCGUAGCUCAACGGAUAAAAGGUACCCCGGGGAUAACAGGCUGAUCGCGCCCGAGCGUCCAUAGCGGCGGCGCGGUUUGGCACCUCGAUGUCGGCUCAUCGCAUCCUGGGGCUGAAGGCGGUCCCAAGGGUUCGGCUGUUCGCCGAUUAAAGCGGAACGCGAGCUGGGUUCAGACCGGCGUGAGCCAGGUCGGUCCCUAUCUGUCGUGGGCGUUGCAGAUUUGCAGGGAGUUUUCCCUAGUACGAGAGGACUGGGAAGGACUCACCCCUCGUGAUCCUGUUGGCGCGCUAGCGCCACCGCAGGGUAGCGACGUGAGGCAGGGAUAACCGCUGAAAGCAUCUAAGCGGGAAGCCCCCCCUAAGAAUAGAUCUGCUUGUUGCAUAAACGUGAGACCCCUGGAAGACCACCAGGUUGAUAGGCCGCGCGUGUAAGGGCUGAGAGGCCUUCAGCGGAGCGGUCCUAACGGUCGAAGGCUUGAUCAU